rnacentral:tRNA from 1 species
GAAUAUUUUAGUUAAAUUAUAAUAUUAAUUUGUCAAAUUAAAGAUAGAAAAAUUCC